UACGUAGGUGGCAAGCGUUGUCCGGAAUUAUUGGGCGUAAAGGGCUCGCAGGCGGUUCCUUAAGUCUGAUGUGAAAGCCCCCGGCUCAACCGGGGAGGGUCAUUGGAAACUGGGGAACUUGAGUGCAGAAGAGGAGAGUGGAAUUCCACGUGUAGCGGUGAAAUGCGUAGAGAUGUGGAGGAACACCAGUGGCGAAGGCGACUCUCUGGUCUGUAACUGACGCUGAGGAGCGAAAGCGUGGGGAGCGAACAGG
rnacentral:rRNA from 1 species